AUGGCAGCAUUCACUCUGGGCCAGAUUCUGGAGAUUGCCCUUGGGUCAUCAAAAGCUGGAGCCGUUGAUUUUGAGCAACUGUACAAUCUCCUGAAUGGGAUGCUUUUGCACCUGGGCCUGCGGGAUCUGGCUGUCCAGGAGAACGGGGAGCCACUGGAGGGGUCUGAGAGAAGCCCUUUCUCUGCCGCUUUCCUCGAGGAGUUAAUGAGGAGAGUGGAAGCCAAUGAAAAAGAUAUCACUGAGGUCAGGACUCUGUGCCAGGACCUCCGUGAGGAGGUCAUUGAGAUGAAGGUGGAGCAGUCCCGCAUGAUGGAGGACAUGCAGAGGAUGCAGGAGGAGUUUGCCACGAACGUGGAUGAGCUCCGUAACCAGUUGCUGUCUACCAUGACGGAAAUGCUCCAGGGCAAAAAAGGCUCCCGGGACGUGGAUACUCUCUCUGUCCAGUCACGGCCGUUGGAUGACGACCUGAUUGUCAUCGGCAAUGAAAUUACCCUCGUGGAUAGAUCUGUAUCGAGGCUUGGGGACAUGCGGCCUGCCAGCCCUAUGCCCCAGAGGGGCAAGACACCCAGCAGAGGGAAGGGUUUGCUGGAGCCAAAUGCCAGCAGCCAACCGGUCUCCGAGGCACAUGACAUGGGACAGAACGUGGGACGGAGUGACAUGGGACGGAGGGGCAUGGGAUGGGACACAGGACAGAGGGACAUGGGACGGAGGGGCAUGGGAUUGGACACAGGACAGAGGGACAUGGGACAGAGUGACAUGGGACAGAAUGGGGGACAGCAGAAGGUGAGACGAAAGGUGCAGCUGAGCGACACAGGACAGGAUGACGUGGGACAGAUCAAGGAUGGAGAGAUCAAGAUGAGUACUUCCAAGGCAGAGACUCUUCCCAGUGACCUGGAUGUUCCUCCUGAGAUCGCCGAUGUGGGAGAGAUCAUGGAUGAAGAGAGGAAGAUAAGUAUUUCUAAGGCAGAGACUCUUCCCAGUGACCUGGAUGUUCCUCCUGAGAUUAUUGAUGCAGGAGAGAUCAUGGAUACAGACAUCAUGGAUGAAAAGAUCCAAACGAGCAUGUCUAAGGUAGAGGCUUUUCCCAGCCUCCUGGAUGGUUCCCCUGAGAUGACCAGUAUGGGAGAGAUCAAGGAUGGAGAGACCAAGAUGAGCUUCUUCAAGGCUCCUCCUGACGUUCAGAAAAAAGGUUUGGAUAGUGGUUUCACUGCCUCGGGAAUGCAUCCAGGAGCCCCUGGCACCCACCCCCCAGUCCAGCAGGUGCAGCCAAUAGGAGUCCCCCCAGGAUCCCAGAAACUCUGGACCCCAGACAAGAGUGUGGCUGGGACUAGCAGACACCCCCCGACGCGGCCAUCGGCGCCGCCGCAGUCCCCCAGCUUCUCUGGGCACCUGCCCCGUGCUUUCAAGCGGCACCCUUGUGUUCCAGUACCGAGGCGCAGGGAGCUGGCACCCCCGGGCUAUUCCCGCCGAUCACCGCUGUACUCUGGGGGCAAACACACCACCACCUACGCCGUGCAGCCCAUGGAGCCCCUCCUUCCAGACCCCAACAAGCCUGGUGUGUGUGAGCUGAUGGGCAAGGACGGACUCUUGUACCGGGGCCGGACUCCCUAGGGCUGGACUGAGCACCGACUCCAGCCUGCAGCAAUAAAGGGAGAUGAGCAGCCGAGCAACUGUGCCUCCUGAGUGGAGCAGGAUCUUCUCUUCGUGCACAAGGAGAGGCUGGCAGCAUCCCUCAUCUGAGAACAGCCCCUGUGAACCCCCUCCCAGGGCCUGUGUCAGCCUCCGGGUGUCGCACACCCCUGGCCCUCACGAGCCCCACUUGUGCCCUGCCAGGGGAGCCUGUGGCCCCCAAAGGGGUCUGGGACAGCAGGGGAGGAGGAGCUCAUUUGCUGCUGGAGAAGGAGAAAAUGGGGACCUCAGUGGGAAGGGCAGCAGCAGAACAGUUUGAUACCAAAAGCAAAUCCCACCCCAAGCCACUGGUUUGCUGUCACCCAUCCCCGGGAUGAGCAUCACUGAGCUGCCUUCCCCAUCUCCAGGUGAAGAAACCCCCCCUGUCACCCCCGUGUCCUUCUUGCAGUGCUGCCAUUGAUUGAAGGCACAAACCCCUCUGCUCCCCACCUCCAACCAAUACACCACAACCCCUGGAGAGUGACAUGUCCCUUCCUUUCCCUUGUGCCACCCCCAAGGCUUGGGGCUGCUCCUCCCCAGGCCCCUGUGCCACCCACCCGUCACCGUGGAUGGGAGGAAGCCUCAGUGGGUGCUGAGACUGAACACACGCCGUCGGGGGGGGGGAUACUGGGCAGGGAGCAGCAUGGGGGCACUGAGGGGUGUCACAGCUGGGGACACACGGCUGUGUGCACAGGCAGUGACCCUUCCUGGGGGGACACAGAGCUGGUGGCACCUCUCAGUGAGUGGGAGGGUGAGAAACGCUGAGGGGAAUCCCAGAGGAACCUGGGGUGACCCAGAGCUUAUGGGGGACAUCCCCUGGGGGCUGCCCUGUGGAAGCCCUGCCCUCCUGGUGGAUGUCCCCAUACCUUCCCCCCCCCCGAAGGGACAGCCUCCAUCCCUGUCUGCUCCACUGUAUUCCACAGACAUCUCAGUUCCCAGGGAGUUCCCCCUGGGAUGUUCUCCCUGGUGGGUUUGGUUUUUCAGGAGAAAACCGGGUGCUCAAAACCACUUUGGGGGUACUGAGGUGGUCACAGCAGGACCUGGGAUGCCCCCAGUGCCACCUCCUUUAAGAUAACUGGGAACGCUCUGAGCAAACCCCUGGGCACCAGAGCAGAGCCAACAAAGAACCAUCCUGCACUCCUGGCUGGGGUUCAGUGGCGUAAAAACAAACAUCUCUGGGGCCAGUUUGCAGGACAUGGCCCAGCUGGGUCAGCUCUUUGGUGCCCAUCAGCCCCCUGCCCCCAGGAUGCAGAUGCACCCUAUAAACACCCCACCCCCUGAACACACCCAGCCUUGGGUGAUCUUUGGAGCAGGUAAGUGAUCCCAGAUGGGGGAUUUUUUAGCCUUUUCUCCUUGGAGUUUGGAGCAGGUAAGUGAUCCCAGAUGGGAGAUUUUUUUGCCUUUUCUCCUUGGAGUUUGUACCAUCCCAGGGACCUCCCCAUCCCUACAGGAAGCUUUGGACUGCUAUUCCCAGAGCUGCUGUGUUCCCAUUUUGGGGGUUUUACCCCAGCUGUUUGGUGUGUGAACACAGUGACCACAGGUCUGGUGAGCUCCCAUGUCCUCUGGCUGGUGACCCUUCUGCAGAGGGGGACAUCAUCCCCUCCCCAAGUGUCCCCACAGUGCUGAGGCCUGGAGGGGGCUCCUUACUGGGUGGGUGAUGGGGCUGGGGGGCCCAGGUUGCUGGGGGGGUUUUUGCUAGCUGUGAGAUUUUGUGAGAGGACACACAGGGGUGCCAGCUGCAGCCCCUGGCACAGGGGGUUCCUCACUGUGCCAGCACAGCACCCCCAUGGCCCUGGGUCUUCCCUUCCCUCUGACCCCUCCUCUUUGGGGACAGCAGUGGUGGCUUGUGGAGGCAGAGCAGGGACUCAAGUCCCCAGUGGUGAUGCUGCCUCACACAGGAGUCACCUUCAUUUUCAGCUACACCCACCCAGAAGAGAGAAAAGGCAGGGAUAGCUGGUGUUAAAAAAGUGAUUUUUUUUUUAAUUUUUAUUAUUUUUUAAAUUAAUAAAAAACCUUCAACCUGUUUUUUGCUGGGUCUUUUUUUUUUUUUUUUUGGUUUGUUUUUCUGUUUGUUUUUUUUAAGGGGGGGGGGGGGGGGGGGGGGGGGGGGGGGGGGGGGGGGGGGGGGGGGGGGGGGGGGGGGGGGGGGGGGGGGGGGGGGGGGGGGGGGGGGGGGGGGGGUUCUGUUUGUUUUUUUUAAGCAACAUUGAUUUGAAAACUAAAAAACCCCCAGCUCCCCCCUGCCUGGGGAAGCGCCACAUAGGGCGGUCACAGGGACAGGGGGACAUCACUUUGAUAAACCCCCAGGCCCUGGGGGUGCUGAGGGAGGGAGGACAGGGUUGGGGGCAAGUCCAGGGGGGGUCUGUGCAAGAAGCCGGGCUGAAUUUCGGGAGCCAGAGAGCUGCAUUUGCUCUGAGCACUGCAACGAGUGCCCAGGGAAGGCAGAGCUGGGGAGGGUGUCCAUGGCUCCACGUCUGUGUGGCCAUGAUCUGGGGUGCCAACAGCCACCUCCAUCCAUUCAUUCUUGUUAUUCCUGUCCUCCCCUUCCUUCUCCUGCCCUCAUGUAGAGAGGCUGGGUGAGGUUAGAGCCACAGGGAAAACCCCCCAGACACCCAGCAGCUGCCUCCACGCUGCUGCACCUUCUCUCUGCAUUUAUAUACAUUAGAUAUAUUUAUAUAUUAUAGUUAUAUAUUUUUUAAAAAAAAGGGGAGAGGAGUAGAGAGCAGCCAGAGGCUCUCAUGGGGUCAGUGCCCUCCCUGGCAGCAUGUGCUCCCCCCCCUUAAAAAUAAUAAUAAAACCUAGAAAAUUAUUCCAGUGCGUUUCUCGGCGAGCCCCCGCCCCCAAGGGGGGGGGGGGGGGGGGGGGGGGGGGGGGGGGGGGGGGGGGGGGGGGGGGGGGGGGGGGGGGGGGGGGGGGGGGGGGGGGGGGGGG
rnacentral:lncRNA from 1 species